rfam:TPA: Bos taurus chromosome 16, whole genome shotgun sequence.
UCCCUGGUGGCUCAGAUGGUAAAGCGUCUGCCUGCAGUGCGGGAGACCCAGGUUCGAUCCCUGGGUUGGGAA